UACGUAGGGUGCGAGCGUUGUCCGGAAUUAUUGGGCGUAAAGAGCUUGUAGGCGGUCUGUCGCGUCUGCUGUGAAAAUCCGGGGCUCAACCUCGGGUCUGCAGUCGAUACGGGCAAACUUGAGUGUUGCAGGGGAGACUGGAAUUCCUGGUGUAGCGGUGAAAUGCGCAGAUAUCAGGAGGAACACCGGUGGCGAAGGCGGGUCUCUGGGGCAACAACUGACGCUGAGGAGCGAAAGCGUGGGGAGCGAACAGG
rnacentral:rRNA from 1 species